rnacentral:lncRNA from 1 species
AUGCCUAAUGCGGAAGAGGAAAAGUACACAAAAAAACGCCUAAAGAGCUAAAGAGAGGACCAUCAGCCGCAAUAACACAUAGAAAUUCAUCGGCUGGCCUCUUACCAUUGCUCCCCGUUUCUCAUCUCCUUCUUCCUCGAAAAACCCAAAACUAAAUAAAAAACCUAGUAGAAGUUUUCCAAUAAAAAACGUGAAAAAGGGGCCUUUCAUUUAUUGUCCAAUUUUUUCGAUUUAGCUCCUUCAGACAUGAAUUCCAUGUGGAUUCUGAGAUCUUGUAGCCUGAUUCGGCUGGCAUUUUAAUUUUCCGGCGAGGUUGUCCGUCGAGGUCGUCGUAUGUGGUCCACGAGAUCCAAAUAAUUUGUUGCUGAUUCAAAGCUGUUGAGCUCCAUUUUCAAGUCUUCUGAAGCUCUAUUUGGACGAAUUCUUGUUGGUUUCGCCACUGUCCAGCUUCUUCGGCUAAUUUUGAGUUGUGUUUUGUUGCUAGGUAUGCCUCGCUCAUUUGUUAUUAGAUGUUGGACUUAUAAAUGUCAAUGUUGAAUUGUUCAUGUUAUGGCCAUGUUUAAUCUCAUGAGUUUAAUUAUGUUCAAUCAGCAAAAAUUGUCUUUUGUUUUUCUGUUUGCCUAUAAUUGAUCUUGCUGAUAACUGUUAUGUUUGAGCUAAAAUUUAGGUUGAAACUGUUUGUUCAUUUGAAGAUUUUAUAUGCUGGUCUACAGCUUAAUUAGCUGCUAAUUCGCCGUUAAUUGGCGUAUUAAAUUGAAGUGUUGCCAUCUGAUAUGGAUUCCUGUUAAAUGAUAUACUAAUUCUAAAUUGAACUUACGGUUUAAACUUCCUAUGUGUUGAGAUAAUCAAUUUUCAUGUUAUAUGCUGUAUAAGUUUACUUGCAUAUUCCAAGUCUUACCUAGUGUGGGCCGUUAGAUGAAUCUUCUGCUUUUGGGCCUAGUAUAUAGGUUUUGAAGAAUUGAAUAAAGUUGGCUCAUUUUCUUGUAUCCGAAUCCUUCUAGCUUAAUUUUACACUCUAUCCACAAUAAAUUUCCAUAAUUCCCAUGUCAUUGCAUCAAUUUCAAACUUAGGAAUUGAACAAAUGAAAACUAACGAGUUUCGCAGUUUGUUUCAGGCGCGUUGAUUAUAUAAUUAUCACGGUUAUUAUUAAAAUUCGGGGUACAUUUCAUAUGUCCCGAUUUUAAUUUUCUAACAAGGUUAAAUAGAACGUAUCGUGAAUCACGGGUACAUUUCAUGUAGCGUGACUUGUGAUGUGUUUUAAAUAACCUUGAAAUAAUUCCUUAAACAAAUAAAAGCGGUUUUAAAGUUAAAAAUGCACAUAGGUUUAAAAGUGUUUUAAAAUUAGAUAAUAGGCCAAAUAUAACAGUUGAGCGACCGUGCUAGAACCACGGAACUCGGGAAUGCCUAACACCUUCUCCCGGGUUAACAGAAUUCCUUACCUGAAUUUUUGUGUUCGCAGACUGUAAUACAGAGUCAAUCUUUUCCUCGAUUCAGGAUUUGAACCGGUGACUUGGGACACCAUAAAAUUAUCCCAAGUGACGACUCUGAAUUUUUAAUAAAAUUAUCCCGUUUUGAUUGUCACUUUAAGUUGGAAAAAACUCACAUGUCCUACCUUUUCGGGUGUAGGAAAAAGGAGGUGUGACAGCUCUGGCGGCUCCGCUGGGGACCCAAACCUAGAACUUCGGUUCAGAGUUUAAGAAUUCGAGCUUAGAAUAGCUGUUAUGAUUGACUUUAUUUAUUAUCUGAUUUUUGUACAUGUUUGAUCCUAAUAUGCUAAAUGUUGCUUUUACCGUUUUGAUAUUAUCUAAACUGUAUAUAAACUGCUAUGAAACCUCUCUCUUCUCUCUUCUGGGGAGUGCACGCUGGCGUGACUCCUCUUCUAUUAGUGUCAUAUACCAAAUUAGAACGAGGUUCGGACAAGUUGCAAAGCCGGAUGAUCUUUUAGUUACCGGUACGCU